GACUGGGAAGUGUAGUUCCCUCCCUCCCUCCGACCCGGGAGAGCACCCCGAAUCCCCCUCGGGGGACGGCCCCUUCUCCACACUCGGACUGCACCUCUGGCUGCAGCCGGCUCGGGUAGAAUAAUCCCUCCUCGGGGGGCCGCGUGGGCGAAGCCGGCGACCCCGGGACGUGGCCGGGACUACAUUUCCCAAGCUGCCCUGCGCUGGGCUUCGUUCGGCGCUGAAUAGAGACCCGAGAUUGAGCUCUUCGCUGGCAGUUGCAAGCGGGCUUCAGUGAAGGUGUUGGUGGGCCAACAUCAUAUGAAGGUUCAACUUGGGAAAGCUCUAUUGGCCCCCCUAUUUUCCUUGGCUUGUGGCCCCCCCCGUCCGUGUUCAAAGCUCAUCGUUUCAGUCUCUGAUUCUGUCAUCAUGUUGCCUUCUCCUCCAACUCUGACUCCCACUGCAUCCCUUUCUGGAGGACUGGUGAUUACUUCAGGUCCGCGAAGAUAAUCCAAGCUGGAGGUACCAGAACUCACUCCAUCAUCUGCCAGCUAAGUGAGAGAGUCCCCUUGCAGACCUGAAGAGAGAAAGAGGCUCACUUAUUCCAUCCAACAAAUUCCCUUUCCUGAAUGGAUCAUGGAGAAAAGGAUGGAAGGAUUCACACCAAACUCUUAACAUUGGUUAUUUCACACUGGAAUAGAAACAAGCAAGAGACACGGAGAGAGAGGGAACACAGCAGGGGAAGCGGAAGAGAGAGAAGCAGGCUUCCCGCUGAGCAGGGAGCCCAAUGCAGGGCUGGAUCCCAGGACCCUGGGAUCAUGACCUGACCCGAAGACAGACGACUGAGCCACCAGAAGGAAGAGCUGAACACACAGGAGCUGGUGCCUUAAGGGAGUGGGAGUCAGGAAAUUUGAUGAGAUGGAGAGCCAAGGAGAAGGUAGACCUCAAGGCCUGAAGUCGUCAGAGUGCAACGUCUCUAGGCCAGAAACUAAACCCAGGUAGGAAAAGUGUCUCAAGGAAGACAAAGCACAGGGCCAAGGAAUACUGUGGGAGACAGCGACCUGCUGAGGAACCAGAGCUGCAGAAUCACGGGGACUCACAGAGAGUGAGCACAGGCAGACAGAGUGGCAGGCAGAGGCAGAGGGAGAAGCAGGCUCCCUGUGGAGCAAGGAGCCUGAUAUGGGAUUCGAUCCCAGGACGCUGGGAUCAUGAUGUGAGCUGAAGGCAGCCGCUUAACCAACUGAGCCACUCAGGAGUCCUUAAUUAUGAUCUUCUUAAAAAAGGAUGCAUCCAGAAAGGAGAUAGGGUUGUCUCUCUCAGUCACUCACUGCCCAAGAGUUGAGUCUUUAUCUCCAGUGUGGGGAUCAUUUUAAUCCAUGUAUCUCACAAAGGUUUUUUUCUCUCCCCCCACCCCCCGCCAACCCUGGUGGGGGUGGGAAUCAGGUAAGAUCCCUAAGUGGGGAAGAAUUUUCUACAUUAUAACAGAUACGUACAUUCAAGCUAUGAUAUGGUUUUUGCUAUAGAUCCUUUUGCAGAUAGGAACCUUCUUUGUGCUCUGGCCACCUGCCUGGGAGUCACCUUGUGGUUACUAAGAGUCUCUCGGCACCACCGGAUGUUAGGGGAUUGGGCAACUUUCCUGAGUAAUUAUCUCCUCUGACUCACGUUCCUUGCAGUCCUUAUAGUGACCUGUGUACUACCAAGGAUGAGCAAGGAAUUUCUUCUCUGGAGUUGUUUAAGGAAUAGCCUCAAACUUUCAACUUAGUCUUUUUUUACACAACUUUCAGUACUACCUACCUAGUGGCCACAGAACAAAUCUGUGCAGCUGUUGGAUUUCGGUUUGCGGAAACACAUUUUGAGUAUGUACUGCGGGAAGGACAUAGACUCUCCACUCCAAUGAGAUUCUUUUCAUGGAUACCCGUCUCUCCUUAAGGCCUCAUUAAGGUGGAAGAGCACAGUUAACACAUAGCCUGAGUACCAAGAAGUCAUCAAGAGAUAACUUUUAGGUGUACUUGACCAUCUUUCUUUUUCCUUGCUUUCUCUGCUUCUGGUCUCUCUCUCUCUCCUUCUCUUCCUCGCUGCCUCCCUUCCUCUUUCUCUUUUUAAAUCACUUCCCUUCCCUACUUCCCUUUUACUACCCUCUUUCCCAAUCAGUAGACCCACCAUGGCAUUCCAGGGGUAAGUCAUUACCUUUGUUAGAUGUAUUCAGAGUGCAACAGUUGUAAAUCUCCAGUCUAGGUCUGAGAUUCGAAUCCCUUGCUCUGUAUUACAAUCACCCAAAGGGCUAAAAAAUACUGAUGCCUGGGCUCAACUGGACUCCAGUUGAGUUAAGAUCUCAAGGAGGAGUGGGGAGCUGAACCCUGGGCCUGAUACUUCAAAAAGCUUUGAAAAAGUUCUAAUGUGCAUGAGCUUACACUGGUUGAAGAUAUUUGGAGAGUAAAGAUAUGACAAAACUAUUCUAAAAAUAAACUUCAAGAAGAUUUAUGGCUCAAAGACCUGCAAUUAUGUGGUUUGGACACACUUGCUUGUUUUCUAUCCGUCAAAUAACAACUAUUUUUUGAGAACCACAGAAAGAGCAGUUGGUUAUGCCCAGGCAGAGCUUCUAGGUGAGUUUCCAAGAUAAGGCAUGUGCUACCCUAAACACUUUAAUAUACAUUAUGUCAUUCAACCUUCUCAACAAAGUUAGGAGGCCUUCAUAUAGGAAUAAGGAAGAAACAGGGCACCAAAGGAUGACUUACACAGCUCAAGGUUUGACCACUCAUUAGAAGUGGAGCCAAGAGGUAUGAAUACAGGCAUUUUGCAGUCUUCCUUUUAAUUAUCAUGGGAUACCUCCUCUCUACAUUGACAGAUAAGAUGAAAACAGACAUUUGCUGGAGCACUGGUUCUCAUAUUAGAAGCACUGAGAGAGCUUUGCAAAAACAUCCUUCACUCAGGUCACACCUUGGGACAAUUAAACCCACCAGUCUCAAGAAUGGGACACAGACAUCAGUAAUUUUUAGUGUUACAGGUGACAAAAUUAAAAACUACUGAAUUAGAGGAAAGAAAGAGAUACAAAUGAGAGGUCUGCAGAUAAGCUUCCUAGGUAAUACUUCACCUGAACUUGGCAUGAGAUGGAAUAAUGCCCUCCCCUUCCGAAAGAUGCCCAUUUCCUAAUCUCAAGGACCUCUGAAUGUUACUUUAUAGGACAGAGAGGAAGUAAGGGAAUGAAUAUGUUAAGGAUGUUAAUUAGCUGAUGUUAAAAUGGGGCGUUGGCCUGUAGACCCUCUAUAAUCAUUUGGGUCCUUAACUGCGGAAGAAACAGGCAGAGGAAGGAGAACCAGAGAGAUGGUAGCAUGAGAAAGACUUGGCCCAAUUUAGCUGGCUUUGAAGAUGGAGAACAGACUUAAGAAAUGCAGGUACCCUCCAGCUGGAAAAGAUAAGGAAACAAGUGCUACCGCAGAGCAUCUAGGAUGAAAACAGCCUUGCCAGUAUUUUGCAUUUAGUCUAGUGAAACUCAUUCUGGGCUUCUGACCUCCAAAAUCAUAAGAAAAUUAACUCAUAUGGUUUAACCCCCUGUUUGUGGUAAUUUAUUUCAGCUAAUUAUGAAAUUAUCAUCGUGCCUUAAAAAGGAAGGGUUUGGAGAAACAUGUGGUGAGUGUGAAAAAUACCCAUUUAGCCGCAGAUUCAAUUUUCUGUGUCUAGUUCUCUGUGUACUGUACACCUCACAUCUAUAGCUUGCACUUGAGCCAGGAUUCAAACCCAAACCUUUUGACUCUAGAAUCAGUGCUCAUUCUCAUACUGUGUACUUUUCCUUAAGACAAUAGUGGUUUUUCUGAUCUCGCCUUUGAGAAAAAGGCAAGGAAGCAUAAUGUCACAGGGGAUCUUAUACCACAGAGAAAACAGAUUCUCAUUCAAGCUACUUAGAGGAAGAAAUCAUCUAUGAUUAGUUGGAUGUUUAAGGAAGAUUGAUCUGAUAGUUGUGUGAAGAAGGAUUGAAGUAAAUGAAGGUAGGGGUAGACAGAUGAGUCAAGAAGUUCCACAACAACUUAGGCUCCUGAGAGUUUAAAUUCUGAAUGGCGGUGGUGUGGUGGUUGUAGGAGUUGAGAAGACAGGAGGAAUCCAGGAAACCUGGAGAGGAAAAUCAACCCAAGGGAAAUCACACUACUUGAGAAGGGCAAAGGAAAGACAGAGUCAAAGACAGGUCCAGGUUUUCAGCUGUGGCAGACUGAAAGAGUGGUUGGCAGUGCCCUUGACAAAACUGAAGGUACAAGAAAAACAGAACAAAUUUGGGGAGUGGGAUCGGAUAGAGCAAUGGUGUUUAAUAAAGAAUUUGAUUGGCCUUUGUUCUUGGGAGGGAGACGCUAAUCCUUGGACAAUCCCAAGUGAUAAAGAAUAUCAUUUUUAUGCUAAUAAAAUGGCUCAAGGCAGGCCCCUGGAUACUUUUAGUGUCAGGGCUGGUCCAAGAAAGACCACCCAAGGUGAUGAGAGAGUUGCUUGGCAUCUGUAGAAUGGAGGAUGGGUGGAAAUUGAGUUUAAUCAGUCAUGGUCAUGCAAUGAAACCCCAAUAAAAACUCCAAACAGUGGAGCUUUCUGGUUAGUAAACAUCUCAUUGGUGUGCUGGGAGGGUGAUUUGUCUGAUUCAUCCAGGAAAGGGCCCAGAAGCUCCAUAUCUGGAACCCUCCCAGAUCUUAACCCUAGGAGUAUCCCUUAUUAAAAAAAUAUAAUCAUAAAUAUGGUGCUUUCCUGAGUUCUGAGAGUCAUUCCAGCAAGUCAUCAAAUCUGGGGACAUGGGGAACCCCUUUUUUAUAGCCAGUCUUCCAGAAGCUUCCAUGGCCUGAAUAGUCCUGAGAUUUGUGGCUGGUGGCUAACCUCUGAAAUGGAGGCAGUCUUGUAGAGGACUUUACCCUUAACCUAGGAGUCUGUCAGAAUUGGAUUUCUGUUCACCCACCUGUGAUAGAAACAAAAUAUGUGGUUUCCCCUCAAUACUAAGGCCAAAAGUGAAUGCUGAGAUCAUUAAAUAUAACAUUAAAGUACUCACACCAUGAUUCUUCUUUGACCAUUCUGACCUCUCCAAUGGCUUUGUGUCCGAAGGAUAGAAUGAAAUAUUGGGGUCUAAAAGACAAAAUGGAGUUCCUGUUACUCACUUGCAAUGAAAUGGUGGGUAUGUAACUCAUUCUCUUUGGGCCAUAGCCCUUUAUCUUUAAAAUGGAAAUAUUAAGACCUAAUUUGUACAGCUGUUAAGAGAAUGAACAUAAAAAUCUAAGAUCUUGGCACGUGACAGGUGUUCAGUGACUAUAAUUUCCAGCUGUCCUUUAGGAUUAUUUCCAAUUGGAUUGGUUCUUUCUGAGCAAGAUUUUCUUUUAUCCCGAUCAUCAAGAAGUUGUCAAAGUGAUUGACGUGGCUUCAGUGAACACGCAGUGAACUAUGUGACCUCGGGGGGGAUAUGCUGACUCAACCUCUCAACCGUCAGUGGCUGUUAGAGAGCUUCAUCUUAAAGAGGGUCUUACUAUAAUUGAAAAAUUCACAACGUCUGCUCUGGGGAAGGGAGGACACCCAUUCAAUGCCUGUAUCUGCUGUCACUACGAUGCCAGAACAGCUUGCUGCCACAUGUGUUAAAACCCAUCUUGGCCGCAGGUGUCCGGUGUCUGUGCUCUGAAUGGCGCCAUUACUAUGGGCACAUUUAAGCUUCAGUCACUUGCCCAGGGAUAUCCAGCAUAUCUGGGGCCCAGAAUGAAAGCCAGGCCUGUGGAUGCCUCCUUGUCCCCUCAACAGACUCCUCCUGACUUGCCUCUCUUCCAUUUUGUGGUGAAGUGGUUACAUUUCUGCACCAAAUAACCAGCAGACUUUCCUAGAGGAACGCUGUUUUUCAUUUCCCUCUGGUGAUCCCACAAAAUGGUUGGGUGUCAUCCCUCCUGUGAAUUCAUCUCUUGUGAAGAAUACGUUUAAAAAACAAAAAAACACUUGUUUACUAUGCCAGGUGCUGGGAUAGAAACUUAUGUGGGAUGACCAGAUAAGCUUCUGAGGUUUUAUUCUGUCAAUUGUGCAGACAGGAAGGCUGAGUCCCAAAGCAAUCACACUAUUUAGAAGAAGAGAUGGGAUUUAAAAUGAGGUGUGUCUCACCCCUAAUCCUUUUUUCCUUUGGGGAAGACUUAUUAACCUGUGUGGGAAAGAUGGCUCCUUAUUUCUGAGGUAGAAUCUGCUCUUAUUUUUCUUUUAUUCCCAGACCCCGUCACAUUUAUUUUUUUCUAGAAACUUUGUUAUGACAUUCCCUAUUCUUUAAAUGUGGCUUAGUCAACAGAGCAUAUUUUCAAAUAAUUCGGAAAAGAGACUAUGCCAGCUACACCCAAGUGCCGGUCUGUUGGCUUUAAGUUUUUUUUUAUACCCAGUCUCAACUCCAAGGUUGGGGUUUAAACAGAAAUUUAUUCUGGAGGCGUUAGCAAAGCUUACUUCUUUUGCCAUCCCCUCUUAGUAAGCAAAUCCUGGAUGCGUUCCUUGCCACGAGUGCCUAAUGGCAGAGUACAUCUUGUCACCAUCCAAGGCAGGUCCUUUUGAGUGGCAUGUUCUCGUGGCUGGAGGGGAAAAUGUGAUCCAGAUCCCACAAAAAACAGAUGGAGUUUUCCAUGCAAAACCAUUACUCUUGGAUUUCUGGCUAGAGGAUUUCUGUUUUUCAAAAUUGUGGGUUUAUCCCCAACCCGCGUCCCCGGCCUUCUUGACUCUUGCUGUCUUUCUUUCCCAGGAGUGAUGUUGGGUUUCUCCAGCUUAAAUCCAGAGAUGUAACUGGGAUAGAUCAUUGGAAGGAAGUAUAAGACUCGAGACAGCUGUGACUACAUCAGGCAGAUAUUACAUCCAAUGCAAGCACUGUAUAAUAAUAGAAGUCCUGGAUAAAAGAAUGGUAGAUGUCAGGGGAAAGAAGCUGAAGGCUGCUGGCUUUUAGAAAAAUGAUGAUGAUUUGAUUACUGGGUUGUUCAGGAUUUAAUGAGAUGAUGUCUGUAAUGGUCUUAAGGGUAGGGCUUUGUUCCAUGCAAGUUCUCAAUAAACAGCCUUUACUCUGAGUACCAGGGUCAGCGUAGAAACAAUGGCAAAUCAGAGGAAUUGGUGAUUUCCUAGGUUUUGCCUUCAUACAACAUUGUUUUCUAAGAACCUAAAUGGACCCAGAUCUAACAGAAAACCAUUUAAUAAAUUAUAAUGAUGAUUAUUAUUUCUGUUGAUAUUAUUAGCAUAACAUCAGCAUCAAGGGAGACAAAUUGUCAGGUGCUAAAUGCAAUGACUGAUACAUGCACAGUGGGAUUAAACGCACUCCAAGAGAGAAAGCUGGGGGUUUCCCAUCUUUGUUAAGAGAAGCACAAAGUUAAACAGGACUCUUGAUAGUACUGAGAAGCUCUGAGAUCUGAUAGCAGCUGUGCAAUUUAAUGCAGCCUCAUUUGGUCCUCAAGGAUUAGAUAUAAUAAUAUUUCCCAAAGUUGCCCAAUAAGAAUUCUAACACCCAAGCCCUGACCUAGGGAGGAUGCUAGGGAAUGUACAGUUUGAACAAACAAUCCCAAGUGAUACUUGUGAUUAGGUAAGUUUGGUAAACACUAGGUUGGAACAAUCUACAAAGGCCACGUGCUCAAAAAUUCCAGGAAAGUAAGAGUUUCUAUUAAAGAAACCAUUUUUGCCCAAUCUCAAUGACAGAGUGAGAGCUAUUAAAUCCUGAAAUUGGGUUCCGUUGGCUGUGUGUGUGUGUGUGUGUGUGUGUGUGUACACAAGUAUGCAUGUGUGUGCAUACAUGUGCAUGUACGUGGUGUAUGUUCACAUGUGUGCUUUGCUUGUGUUUACAUGUAUGCAUGAAUGCUCGCAUGUGUGUGUGUUGGGGGCAUCAGUAUAGCAAUGAGAUAGUUUAAAAACGCUUGAAUCCGAGGUCAUUACUCUCCAGGUUAGUUUAGGAAUGGCUGAACCAAGAAGGCAAGAGAGACGAAUAGAUGACCUCAUGUUGUCUCUCAGGAACCUAUGAUUCCAUGAGAAUGACACAGGUUUUAUGCAUGAUCUGUCCUGUUUACCUCCUCUUGCCUGAAGUCAGUGAGUCAUGAAAAACCAAAAUUACUAUUGAAAUGUCAAUUUGGAAGAUGUCUUUGUUUUAGUUAGAAGGAUUUUUGUGGAAAUAUGACUUAAGCUUUUGUGUCUCAGAAGAUGAGGUGGAUUUCCCUGGGAAAAGACUCAAGAAAACCCAAGGAAAUGGGAGACUUACUUUGUAUUAAAUAUUUGGAAAAAGACAGGAAUCUCAAUCCAUUAGUCAUAACCAAAUGCCCAGUGAUGGUGCUCCUUCUCUGAUGACUCUCCUGGAAAGAUUAACGGUUCUUUACUGUGACAUUUCCUUUCCACUCUGGGCCCACCUGCAGUCUGAGUUGCAUAUUUACCUCAGCCAUUUACCUCAUGGCUGAACUAUUCUAGUAGUCAACUCUUCUCAUUUAAUAAUCUCUAACCUAUUUCCGCUCCAAUCCAUUCUAGAUACUCCUGCCAGAAUAAUCUUGAAAUUCUACUUUGCAGACAUCAAUACCUUUCUUAAAACUUCAAUGGUUUCUGUUGUGGUCAUAGGUAAAUUUUAUAAAAUUAAAGAUUCUCAGAUGGCUAGAACCUCACAAUCAUCACCGGUUGCUCCUCAAAUCCAAACACCUUUGUCUGACAUGCAAAGACCUCUUAUUUACUCUCUCUUAGUCAGGACUCCAGGUUACAGAAAUUGGCUUGGAGGAGAAGAGAAAGUCAAUGGUUCACAAAACCAAAUGACAGGAACAAAAGAAGUUGCUAGAACCAGGGGCUUGAACAUCAUCGGGAUUCUUUGCUUGUCUCUUCCUCCUUAUUCUCUCUGAUACUUCCCUUUCUCUGUGGCCUUUGACAACUUUAGGCUGAAACUUUUUUUUUUUAAGAUUUUAUUUAUUUAUUUGACAGAGAUCACAAGUAGAGAGGGAGGCAUAGAGAGGAAGGGAAGCAGGCUCCCUGCUGAGCAGAGAGCCUGAUGUGGGGCUCGAUCUGAGGACCCUGGGACCAUGACCUGAGCCAAAGGCAGAGGCUUAACCCACUGAGCCACCCAGGUGCCCCAGGCUCAAACUUUUAUAGAUUUUCAUUGGAUGUCAAAAAAUUUUCUUGAAGUGAUUCCAAAUGCACACAUCCUAAGGAAAAUCUUUCACUGAAUGCCUUGGGGGUAGCGAAAGGAAGAGCUGGGUGUACAGAAAGAGAGGCUGUUAUUGCCAAGCCCCAUUGGAACAAGGUGGUUGAGUUGGGCUGGGUGGGAGAGAGCAGUUACCUAAAAGAAGGAGGUAAUUACCAGACUAAACUGAAGAGUUCUAGGUAGAUAAAGCAGUUAGUUUCACAACUUACAGGGUGUUACUAAUAAACUUCAUUGAGCUUAUUUUAUAGUACUCUAAAUUUUUGUAUAAACUACAUCAGUCUAGGCAAUGCUUCCUCAACAUGUUAUGUACAUUUUUGCCUUCAUGGCUUUUCCAAUACAAUUCUUUAUAUCUACAUCCCACCUCAUUCUCUCGGCCUAGAUGUGCCUAUAAGACCUAGCCGAAGUUAUUGCUUCUUGGCCUGCCCUGGGCUUCAGAGAUGACAGUUGACGAAUGUACCAUGUUUAUGUGAUUCGAUUGGUACUAAGUAUAGAUUGUCUGGUAUUAGCGAUUACUCAGCCUUGUGUACAUCCUGUCUCUCCAAAUGGAUUCUAGCCAUCUUCAGGACAGAUGUAUUUAAACUCAGUUGCAGGGGUAAUUUCUGCUUGUUAUUAUUAGUGUUAAAUCCCUGUUUUAUAGUUUCCUAGAUUUAAGGAGAAAGAAAUUUAGAAAAUAACAGCAAGAAAGUCAAAGAAUUAUCCAAUAUAUCCAAUAUCAACAGUCAUAAUUACACUAAUUAAAGGGAUAGAAGCCACUGUUUUGAACUUUGAUCAAGAGAAGAUAAUGAUAAAAGUAUGUCCCUCAAAGACUGAGUUUGGACAUCAGUAUAGGAAACAUCUCCAAAGGUGUUAAGCGUUUUGAAAAGGAGCUACUCCUAGAGCUGUCGGUCCCUGCAUUGGCAAAGAAGAGCAUAGAGUUUUCUGUUCUCAGAGCUCUCCCUUUCUCUCACACCUAUUUCUAUAACUGAGCAUAAACACCUUUGUGUUUGACAGGGGUAGUUUCACAAAUAGCAAACUAGAACAACCCAAGACUAUGUUCCUAGUAGUAAUGAUAGAAUGCUAUCAUUCUAUCAUCUUGUUUAGAACUGGGUAUAAAGUGUACUUUAUUUAGUACUAAAAUUUGGCACUCAAAAGUAUUAUUUUCAAUGGAACAAAUUAGAUUUUCAAUAUAUGCAUAAAAUACUGAAAGUAGUCUGUUGAGUAAGAUGCCUAACAAAAUAGGUAGAAUGGAAUGAUCAUAGUUAAUAAGUAAAAACUUCUUGGAAUAUUUCAUAUAACUGGUCUGGCAUAAGGAUUUCAAAAUUAUUUCUUGGUCUGUAUUCUUCAGUCCAUAAAACGAAUCCAUCAAAAAUACUUCACAUCUUGUGUAAGAUUCAGGAUGAACAAGAGGACACAGUUGGUCUGGAUCAUGAAGAUAGUUUUAACUCCCAUCCAGUCUUUCACACCAAGUUUUGAAACAACAGAAUUGACCAGGUUCUAAUUUACUCCUGGGAAUAAUGCAGAGAACUUGAAUUGGUGAUGUUCUCCAACUUAUGACAAAAACAAACUAAAUUCACCUUCAUGACUUUAUAAAAGAAAAAAAAAAACCUGAUUGGGUAUGUAGUACCAAGAUUGAACCCUAAUGUGACUGUAGACUUUGGGUGAUAUUGAUGUGUUCAUGUAGGUUCAUCAGAUGUAACAAAUGCUCAACUGGGGUGGGGGAUGUUGAGAGUAAAGGAGGCUAUGCAUGUGCAGGGGCAGGAAGUAUGUGGGAAAUCUCUGUACCUUCCCCUCAAGUCUUCUGUGAACCCCAAACUCUUAAAAAAGUCUUAAUUUAAAACAAGCAAACACUCAUUAGAGACCUGACACAGAGCAAAUAACUGACCCAAAAUCUUAAGAGAGUUUGCACCCUUUCUGUUGCUUCGCAACCUUGGCAGCUUCUCAGAUAAAAUCUGAAAUUAGUCCCAUAUUCAGAGGGCAAGGGGAGACUGAAGAAAGACACAGACCACUCUAAGUGGUAGGCAGCAAUCUUAAUAAGCAAGGGAAUUACAUACAAGGCUUAUCUUGGGCAGCUGCGAGAUGAGUAGAUCUCUGCACCUGCCUGCCAGAUUCUUAAAGUUUAGGAGACUGUAGCGGGGUACUGUCAUGUAUUGAGUUAAUAAGUUCCCAAUAACACUUUGUUGUCUUGGAGCUACAUCCUAGAAAUGGCUCCCACCAUGGGAAUGGUGGGAAGAACUUAUGUUCCAAGGACAGGAGACUAGGUGAGGAGCCUCUGAUUGUAUGUUCAAGCUCUCAGGUCAACCAGUGAUCAUGUCCACUUGAUGAUCUCCUCCAAUGCUUUUGCAGGUUCUUUCUCCAUGAAGUCUAUUGAGUACUCACAGAAUAGACCAGAAAGAACUGCAAGAUCUUGGAGGGAGGGGCAGUAGUCCUGCAGUGGGGGUAAGACCCCUCACCCAGAAGAAUAAAAACAUUAAUGUAGCAGGGGAAAAGGAAAACCCACUGGCUUUAGAACAUUGGUGAGCACUCAUUACAGCUGAAGAAAGGGAACGGAAGGUGGGAAAAGUCUGUUCUUGGGGCAAGGGUCAAGAUUAAGGGCUGAACCCACAACUGGCAGACUUCAAGUGACAAGUAACAGCAAAAUGCCAUUGGACAAAGGAUGGGAAAGGAACAAGAAUGUGUAGACAGAAGCUUUUUGAAGAGUAGCUCAAGGGGAAGAUCUAAAACUCAUGUAGACAUUGCUCUGAUACACAUCCACCCCCCUAAAAACAAGCUUUCUAUAGGAAUUUGAAAUUUCUGAUGCACUGAGUAUAACUAUUGCAAAAAGAAAAGAAGAGAGAAGAGUAGAGGAGAGGGGAGGAGAGGAGGGGAGGGGAGGGGAAAGGGGAGAGAGAGAAAGAAAGAAAGGAGGGGCACCUGGGUGGUUCAGUGGGUUAAGGCCUCUGCCUUAGGCUCAGGUUAUGAUCUCGGAGUCCUGGGAUCAAUCCCCGAAUCAGGCUCUCUACUCAGCAGGGAGCCUGCUUCCUCCUCUCUCUCUGCCUGCCUCUCUGCCUACUUGUGAUCUCUCUCUGUCAAAUAAAUAAAUCUUUAAAAAAAAAAAAGAAAGAAAGAAAAAGAAGGAAGGAAGGAAAGAAGGGAGGGAGGAUGGGAAAGGAAGGAAGAAAGGGAAAAAGAAGUUGGCGGAAUUAGUGAGGAACUAAUUGGAUUAAUGCAAAUCCUUCCAUUACAAUUCUAGCAGAAGGAAAGUCAUGACCUAUCCAGGUAUAUAAACUAUUCACCUGUCUCUACUGACCUACUCAAUGCAUUUGGCUUUUUUUUUUUUUUUAAAGAUUUUAUUUACUUAUUUGACAGAGAGAGAUCACAAGCAGGCAGAGAGGCAGGCAGAGAGAGAGGAGGAAGCAGAUCCCCCACUGAGCAGAAACCGUAUAUAGGGUUCAAUCCCAGGACCCUGGAAUUAUGACCUGAGCCAAAGGCAGAGGCUUUAACCCACUGAGCCACCCAGGUGCCCGCAUUUGGCUUUUAACAGAAAAAUUAUGAGACACACAAAAAAGGCAAAAAAAAGCCAAUAUGCUCCCGUGUGACAGAGUAAUCCUCAGAAAUAAUUUUCAGCUUUACUAUAAAGUGGAAGUAAUUAAGACAGUGUGGUAUUGGUGGAAGGGCAGAUUUACAGAUAAAUGGAACAGAAGAGAGAAUCCAGAAAUAGACCCACACAAAUAUAAUCAACUUACUCUUAGCAAAGAUGCAAAAGCAAUUAAAGAGAGAAACGCUAGUCUUUUUAAGAAAUCAUGUUGGAACAACAGGAGGACCGUAAGUAAGGAAGGCCCGUGGGGGUUGAGCUUCAAUAUUUCACAUCUUAUGUAGACAUUAACUCAGUUACAAAGGUUCAUGUCACCAGUAGUCAUGCUGAUAUCACUGGCCCCUGAUAUGAUGUGAGAAGGGCCAUAACAUACAUGAUACUCUUCCCCCCAGAUCCUUAACGUCAGUCUAUUCAUGAAAAAGCAUCAGAAAGACUGAAAUUGAGUCACAUUUUACAAAAGAGCUCAUUAGGGAUACUUCCCAUUGUCUUUUUAAUGAUGCUGUGAAUCUAAAGUUGCUUUAAAAUUAUAAGUUUUUUUUAAAAAAGAGAAAUGGACGUAUAGUCACAUGCCCUAUUCCCCUUGGAGGAGAAGGUUGAGGCAGAGUGAACCCAAAGUAGCGACCAGGGAAGCCAGUAAAAUUGGCAUCUGUGAUUUACACUCAAUGCCAUUAACUUCCAGAUGUUUUCAAAUGUUUCUCCAGCCUAGUUGGUUGGAGGAGGCCAUUUUGUUUUCUGGAAAGAGGAACUUUGGUAGAAGAGCAGGAGCCUCUGAAGGGGAGAAGGCUUCUUGUCAAUCCUGUUCUGCUCCCUAUACCCUUAGCCCUUAGUUCCCACAAUUUUUUUUUUUUUUUUUUCACUUCAGGUGUUGCCAGGUUGGGAUUCUGAUUCUCUGGGUUUGAGCCUCUUGAAUUCUCCUUAGCUUUUAAUUUCCCCAGUAUUAGGAGUUUGUGUGGUAUUUAACCAGAGCUGCCCUUCUGUCAGCAUGUCCAUAACUGAUGUGUUUUCACACAGGUAGGGUUGAUCAGCACCAAUGUUAUAUAUACUCUACGUCAUAGUCUUACCUUUGUUGCCUACCCCAUGAUUGGUGGGGGUGGUGGUGAGGAUAGACCCUGUUCACAAUGAAAACCCCCUUUUGGGAAUUGCUACUAAAAAACACAGACCCACACUGGCCAUGUCCUUACACCCGUCCCAAUCUGAGAUUCUGGACAACCAGAGUCUCUAUCCCAGGAGUGUAAAUUUGGAACUGAAAGAUACAGGAAUGAAAGACUAAGGAGAAAGUGUAGGAACUUUGGUCCCCAAGGGGCCCACAGUUAUUUUAAUUCUGUUCUUUCUGAGGCUUGGAUACAACGUGUAUCAGUUUUCUGUAGUUGUUGUGGCAAACUACCACACACUGAGUGGCUGAAAACAUUAAUUCUUCCAUGAAUAAACAUUAAUAAAAAUACUAAUUCUGUCAUAGCUCUGGAGGCCAGAAGUCCAAGAUCAAGUUGUCAGCAGUGCUGUACUCCCUGCAGAGGCUCGGGGGGAGAAUUUGUUGUCUUCCUUGGGUUCCUUGGCUUAUGGCUUCAUCACUCCCAUCGCUGCCUCUGUCUGCACAUCUUCUCUGUCUUUCCCCUUACUGUGUCUCUUAUAAAGACACGGGCCGUUGGAUUUAGGGCCCACGAGGAUGAUUUCCUCAUCUCGAUAUCCUUAAUUACAUCUACAAAAACCCCUUUUUCUAAAUAAGGUAACAUUCAGAGGUUAUGAUGUGAAGAUAUUUUGGGGGAGCUUCAUCAUUAAACCCAAUACACCACCCUUCCAAUUAGUUUCUUAAACUAAAUCGUGUCAGUUUCCAUUACUUGCAACCAAAAAAUCCCCCCAAAAAACAACAAAAAAACCUCUAGUUUGGCCUCUCGGUGUUAGCCAUGUAGUUGUAACUGGUUUGUACGACCUAUAUACUAAGAUUGACUUCAGAAAUUCUCCGAUUUCAAUGUAGUAAGAGUUACUUUGGAAUUUAUUAAGAAUACAAGUUUCUGCCUUCCUCUUCAGUUUCUCAAUAAAUUGGUCCAGGAAUCUGCAUUUUUAACACUUCUCAGGUGGCCCCAAUGAUAAAAGAACAGGGAAAAUUGUGGAAGCUCAGACCCAUUAACAUCCCUUUCAAAUAAAAGCAAGAGGAAAACCAAUGAAAAAUAACUUGAAAACUUUAAUGAUGUUGUUUAGAUAGUAAAAACAUAGAAUCUUUUAAAUAAAGUACAUUCAAUUUCUCAGAGCAUCUAAUAUUCAGAUAAUUUAUAUUUCAUACACUUUCCAACAUUAAACAAUUGACUAAAUAAUGCGUUUUCUAUAAAAUGAUAUUACAGCUUAUACAGUAAAAGUAUAUCACAAAAACACUCCACACAGGAAGAAUGGCAGUACCUAUUAAGAGAUGCUAUAAACUUUCCAUUAAAAAAUAUAUUUUAUCUCUCAUUUGUCAAAAUAAUAAACAGAAUAUAUAUUUUUCUUCCUAAACUUGUCUUACACGACUUCCCUUUAGGAUGAUAAUAUGUACAAACCUUAUAUCUGAAUGAAUAUAAAUAGAAAUACUGUAAUAGUGUUACAGAUAUAUUAGUAACUCUUACAGAAAAAAAAUAUGGCUUUCUAAUAAAAGCCUCUAGCACAGCUGAAAUCUCAAAGCUAUUUAAGUUAGACAUUCCCAUACUUAGAAGGCACAAUGGAUCUCGUUCCUUAUUUCCAGUUGAAUUACUGUGAGCAGUAAUGAGAGAAAAUAUAGUCAGUAGAUACAAGACCAGAUCUAUCAGUUGGAUAAACUAUUUGGGGUUUAUUGAAAUUUUAGGGGAGAUGUUCGUUCUUUCUCCACACCAUUGUUUCUUUUUGCGCCUUGUGGGCAAAUCUAGUCCUUGGUGAUGAGAAAGAAAUCACUGCAUCCCCCUCAAGUGCCUGAGAAACAGUUUACUCAUUCAUUGGAUCUGGUCCAUUGUGAAGAAAUAGCCCAGUGGCCAUUUCCGGUUAUAAGCAGCUUAUUUUGACUGAUUGGACCUGGUUCCCUAUCAUUUCUAAAAACAGCUUCUGAUAUAAUCUGUACAUGGUGAAGCUAUGAAGGAACCUGAUGGUCUUCUUCAGGCUCUGAGUGACAGCUUUGGGGAAGUGGUAUGUUUUCAAGUGCUUCAGUGCAUGCAUUAAGGCCUUCAGGGUGUCUUGGUCGCCAUUUUUUAUUCUCCACAGGCUGAGCAGCUUCAGAAUCUGCUCGCUUGAUUUGCAUGCCUUCAACGUCUUCUCGAUGUCUUCUGCUGGAACUUUCUUCCCCGGCAAGCUUUCCAUCAAACUGCGGAGCUGCUCGAAGGUGAGGUUUGCGUGUCCAAUGUGCCGCUGUACACUGUUUUCACACAGGUCGAUAUCUGCAUCAAGCAAAAGCCCGAAGAGACAGUCACAUAAUAUAUAUUCUAAAGCCACCACCACAAAAUAACCAUGAGGCAGAAGGAGGUUCUCCCAGAAUUUCAUAAAUUUAUUUUAAGGAUAAUCUUCUCCUUCCUUUUUAUAGGGAGGGGGAGGAUGAGGGAUACUAGAUCUUUGUGAGACCUGAGUUGAAUAUUAUUUCAUGUUAGAAAGGGUAAAGUGCUUUAUGUAUUGUAGGCAUCCAACAGAGCUUUGUGAAAAGCCCUAAUUUUGGAAAUGAACAGUAGAAAACUAUAGAUACAUCACUCUCAGUUUUCUAAGAAAAAUUGGAAAAAUUAAAACCAUAACAUUUCAGAAAAAUAGAAAUAAAGUAUUCGACUUAGCCAUUUUGUAAUAUGAACUUUCAUUAGUGGAUAUCUGAUAUACAACCCAUUUGAAGAGUUAGGUGUGACAAAUGGUCUUUAAUAAAUAGGGCCAGAGAGUUACUGUGGAGGAGGAGGAGAUCUGAAAAACCCAACAGAAUGAGGACAAACAACGGUAGGAUUCAUAUGGCCUAGAGAAUAUUUCAAUAAUGAGCUGGGACAUUAAUGUAAGAGGGGGUAUCUAACGUUUUCAUUAAUGACAUGAGUCAUUUACUGUCUGUGAGCCCUAAGGCAAGUCAGUUCAUCUUUUUGGGCAGAAAUGUCCUUCUUUAUAAAAUAGAGAGUUUGGCCCCUUCCAAUUCUAACAGUCUCUGUUUCUCUAUCCCACCUUCCCCGCAAACCCCCCCCCCUUUUUUUUCCUGCUUCAGGGCUAAUUAUACUUUCAAAGAAUACAUUUUGUUUGCCAAGGACAUAAGAAAACUUUACUCUGCAGAGGUGAAAGUCAAAAAUCUUAGUCUCCUAAAAUAAUAGGCUUCAGUUUCAGAUGUUUGAGGCUCUUUGGGAAGUGUAAGAUUCUUCAGUUAUCCAACUACAGGUAAAGAGCAGAUGGGUUUCUCACGGAUACUGUCUGCAUUAUGGAAAUCUUCCUGCCCUUUCUGGCAGGUGCUCCCAGUGCUAACUGAAGUCAGAACUCUUUGCACUGUAUAUCCUAAAGCUUACCGUCCAGUCCACACUCGAAGAAACUUCCUUUUCCCCUUGGAUUCUUUCCCAUCCACACACACAUACGCACACACACACACUGGUUCUAAAGAAGACUUUUUCAAAUAAAACUCUAAAACAUGACAAUCCUUGGUUUCAACUAGCCCUUUUCUCUCAGAAACACUUUACAGACCUCAUCUCAUUAAUCCUCACACUACAGGCUAUUAAAAUGGUAAUUUUAAAAUAGGCUAUGUUGUGAGGAUUAAUGAGAGGACAUCUGUAAGACACUUGGAGGCCUCUGGAGAGAAUCACCAAAUAAAUACAAAUACAACAGAGCUUCUUGGUGGAAAUGCAAGAUAAGAUCCAAAGUGUGUAAGGAACAUCUACGUAGGCCAGAGAGGAUGUUAAUGAAACCACUACGGGAUCUAGAGGUGGAAUCCCCGAGGUGUAGUCCCAUAAUUGAAAUGGACUGUCUCUUGUUUCAGAGUGUUCAGUGUACUUUAAAGAGCAGUCCGGGUGUGGAGGAGAUGAGAAGAAAAACCUUGAGGCCGCUCUAGGGAUAGCUUCUACACCAUCACUUGGCGGAAACGUUUUAGUUCAAUAAUAAUUCCCAAAGGGAAACAUUGUUCACACAACUAAACAGGUGCACGUCUUCUUGUUUAUGAUAAAUGGGUGUCUUUGAUUUCUGCUUGAUUUGCUUAUUUCAGGUUACCCUACCUUGGAAGAUCUUCUUGACCAUAUCUUGAUCUUUGUUUUGAUGCUUCCAUAACUUCAGGAGCUGGAAAGUCUGUUCUUGUGAGCUGUGUUGCCGUUUUAUCUUCUCCACGCUCUCUGCAUUUACUCUGGUGCCCGGCAAAUUGUCAACCAGGAUGCUGAGCCAGUUAGGGGUGAACUUUGUAGGAACGGCAAACCUGAAGAAUGCCUCCUCACAUAGGGUAACAUCUAAAGGUGGGAAAACCAAGAUUUACUUAGCAACUGGAUUCCGCGAGGUCUGGUGGCCAAUAAAUAAAUAAUACCAACACAAUAGGGAGUUUACCCAAGUUGAAUGUGUUAGAACGUGAAGUUCAGAUAAAAUCAACUCUCUGUUGGCUUGUCUUAAUGGCAGAUUGUCAACCCAAUUGCGCUUAUGUCCUCUCUAAAGUUCUUUUAGGGCAUUGAAGGGAGAGAAUUUAACAAAUGUCUAAGGGAAAUAUUGCUAUAAACAAACUGCAGCAAAAAUUCUAUGACUUGAUGUACAUGUUUACAUAUUUUAAUGUAAAUAUUAAACAUCCUGUUAAAGGGUU